rnacentral:rRNA from 1 species
CUAACAAGGAUUCCCCUAGUAGCGGCGAGCGAAGAGGGAAGAGCCCAGCACCGAACCUCGCACCCUCGGGUGUCGCGGAAUGUGGUGUUUAGGAGGACCGUGCGCGCCUGUCCGGUAUCGUCCAAGUCUCCAUGAAUGGGGCCAGCAACCCAGAGAGGGUGUCAGGCCCGUGGGACGAGCCGCGACCGUAGCAUUGGGUCUCUCCUUAGAGUCGGGUUGCUUGAGAGUGCAGCCCUAAGCGGGAGGUAAACUCCUUCUAAGGCUAAAUACGGCCACGAGACCGAUAGCGAACAAGUACCGCGAGGAAAGUUGAAAAGAACUUUGAAGAGAGAGUUCAAUAGUGCGUGAAACCGUUCAGGGGGUUAAACGGGUGGGCCCUCGAAGGUCGAAAGGUCCCCACUCCCGUCAUCUGUAGGCCGGCUCGUGCUGCUUCCGAUGUCGCUAUGGCACGGGGCUAUGGUGCGGUUGGCCGGUCUACGGGGGCCGCAAGUUGGGGACCCAGUAGGACUCCGCAACCGUCUGGGAGGCCGUCAGAAGGGUUCUGGUAGGAAGCCUCCUCGUGGGGUGGACUCCGGGAUUUUCCGGGCGGUCCUCUCGGCCGUAAACCUGAAUUUCUCCCGGCGGAGAGUAGAGUCGGGUCCCACCCGACCCGUCUUGAAACACGGACCAAGGAGUCUAACAUGUGCGCGAGUCGUCGGGUUUUUGACUAAACCCGAAGGCGCAAUGAAAGUGAAGACCGUCCUCGUUGGCGUGUCUAGGGGAGAUCCCGUCCUGCUCCGGUAGCUCGGGCGCAUCCCCGGGCGUCGAAGCCGCGUUGCCGGCUAGACGAACCAAGAGCGUACACGUUGGGACCCGAAAGAUGGUGACCUAUGCCUGGCCAGGACGAAGCCAGGGGAAACCCUGGUGGAGGUCCGCAGCGAUUCUGACGUGCAAAUCGAUCGUCGGAGUUGGGUAUA